UGGGGAAUUUUGGACAAUGGGGGCAACCCUGAUCCAGCCAUUCCGCGUGAGUGAAGAAGGCCUUCGGGUUGUAAAGCUCUUUUGUCCGGAACGAAACGGUUAGCGUGAAUAUCGCUGACUACUGACGGUACCGGAAGAAUAAGCACCGGCUAACUCUGUGCCAGCAGCCGCGGUAAUACGGAGGGGGUUAGCGUUGUUCGGAAUUACUGGGCGUAAAGCGCGCGUAGGCGGAUUCGAAAGUUAGGGGUGAAAUCCCAGGGCUCAACCCUGGAACUGCCUCUAAAACCUCCUAGUCUUGAGGUCGAGAGAGGUGAGUGGAAUUCCGAGUGUAGAGGUGAAAUUCGUAGAUAUUCGGAGGAACACCAGUGGCGAAGGCGGCUCACUGGCUCGAUACUGACGCUGAGGUGCGAAAGCGUGGGGAGCGAACAGGAUUAGAUACCC
rnacentral:rRNA from 1 species